CCUACGGGCGGCAGCAGUGGGGAAUAUUGCACAAUGGGGGAAACCCUGAUGCAGCAACGCCGCGUGAGCGAUGAAGGCCUUCGGGUCGUAAAGCUCUGUCCUAAGGGAAGAAUACUGACGGUACCUUAGGAGGAAGCGCCGGCUAACUACGUGCCAGCAGCCGCGGUAAUACGUAGGGGGCUAGCGUUAUCCGGAAUUACUGGGCGUAAAGGGUGCGUAGGCGGCACUAGAAGUCAGAGGUGGAAGGCGACGGCAAAACGGUAGUAAGGCGUUGAAAGUGUAGGGCUUGAGGGCAGGAGAGGAGAGUGGAAUUCCCAGUGUAGCGGUGAAAUGCGUAGAUAUUGGGAGGAACACCAGUUGCGAAGGCGGCUCACUGGACUGUAACUGACGCUGAGGCACGAAAGCGUGGGGAGCGAACAGGAUUAGAUACCCCUGUAGUC
rnacentral:rRNA from 1 species